UGGAUCCAGACUUUGAUCAUGGCUCAGGACGAACGCUGGCGGCGCGCCUAAUACAUGCAAGUCGAACGAAGCUUUCUUUCACCGAAUGCUUGCAUUCACCGAAAGAAGCUUAGUGGCGAACGGGUGAGUAACACGUAGGCAACCUGCCCAAAAGAGGGGGAUAACACUUGGAAACAGGUGCUAAUACCGCAUAACCAUGAACACCGCAUGAUGUUCAUGUAAAAGACGGCUUUUGCUGUCACUUUUGGAUGGGCCUGCGGCGUAUUAACUUGUUGGUGGGGUAACGGCCUACCAAGGUGAUGAUACGUAGCCGAACUGAGAGGUUGAUCGGCCACAUUGGGACUGAGACACGGCCCAAACUCCUACGGGAGGCAGCAGUAGGGAAUCUUCCACAAUGGACGAAAGUCUGAUGGAGCAACGCCGCGUGAAUGAAGAAGGCCUUCGGGUCGUAAAAUUCUGUUGUCAGAGAAGAACGUGCGUGAGAGUAACUGUUCACGUAUUGACGGUAUCUGACCAGAAAGCCACGGCUAACUACGUGCCAGCAGCCGCGGUAAUACGUAGGUGGCGAGCGUUGUCCGGAUUUAUUGGGCGUAAAGGGAACGCAGGCGGUCUUUUAAGUCUGAUGUGAAAGCCUUCGGCUUAACCGAAGUAGUGCAUUGGAAACUGGAAGACUUGAGUGCAGAAGAGGAGAGUGGAACUCCAUGUGUAGCGGUGAAAUGCGUAGAUAUAUGGAAGAACACCAGUGGCGAAAGCGGCUCUCUGGUCUGUAACUGACGCUGAGGUUCGAAAGCGUGGGUAGCAAACAGGAUUAGAUACCCUGGUAGUCCACGCCGUAAACGAUGAGUGCUAAGUGUUGGAGGGUUUCCGCCCUUCAGUGCUGCAGCUAACGCAUUAAGCACUCCGCCUGGGGAGUACGGUCGCAAGACUGCAACUCAAAUGAAUUGACGGA
rnacentral:rRNA from 1 species